rnacentral:lncRNA from 1 species
CUCCUCCCCCAGGCAUAACACACAGAUUGAACACCUUUGCUCUGGAGGUACUCUGCCAACGUAACGGUGAGAGUUGCAAUCCUCCGAUGUGUGUAGCAUCAACAGUUGUCAGUGCCCUCUGAGCAGCAUCUGCAGUCAAUGGACAGCUAGGAGGGAGCUCUCCAGGGCUCUCGGCGGGACUUCAGGGAUCCUCUGGUGGCUCAUUUCCUUUCACCAAGCUGGCAGACGUCCCCAGCCUGUGAAUUGACUGCGUCCUAUAUCAUCGUGGCCCAGCUGCUUGAGCUCAUCCUGUGGGAGGUUUACUGGCAUCUUUCCCUCCUGGGUUUUAGAAACCUGCAGAAGUAUCUGGAGAGAAAAACACUGAAAGACAGCUUUCCUCUGGGAACCCUAACUUGAAGUAUUGAAGCAGAACGACGUUAUAUGCCACUGUGCUAAAUGAUGUAGGGCCAAAGCUGAGAAAUUGUGGUUUGUUGGCAAAACUCUGCAAGACUCAGGUACAGUGAUUCUGAAUGUCUUUCUGAAAAAUGCUUUCCCCUGCUGCCUUU